AGGCGUUCAAGCCGCAGCGCGAACAACAGAGCAGAUGUGUGGAGAAAACAAAGUAAAGCUAUACAUUACAACAGUUAAUGGAGAAUUACUGUCUGUAAAGGACUUUAGGAAGCAUAUGAAAGUGGGCCAUGAUCUUCCCUUUGGGCCGGCUGGACCAACAGAAGUUUCCCAUUCGACCGUUUGGGUUCCCAUUUGUGAGGUCACCUCCCUACUUGCUCAGCGCCAUUUUAAAGGAAUUUCCACAUCUACCCUCCCGUUCCAAACUCGAACUCUGAAGGACUUAUGAUAAUGUGGCACAGUUGCAGACCAACCAAGAUGUGGCCAUCAAUGACAACUGAGAGGCAAGGCAAGGAGAACAAUCAAAGAAACUGCAGAGAAGAAGUUCUGCUGGGAGCUGGGCAGAAGUUCACCCUCUAGACGUACGACAGCCUUAAACAGUCAGAGCUUUGUUGAAAUCGCAUAAAUUAAAGAAUAUUCACAUUACAAUGGUUCAGUCCAAGUCUAAGACUGAAUCCAAUUAAGAUUCUAUAAGAAGACUUAAAAGUGCAGUAUUCAAAAACUCUCCGUUACCAUAGAGAGUUCAAGCUAUUUUUCAGAGAACAAUGUACAGAUGCCACACUUUGAAGAUUAUUUCUAAAGAAAAACACCUAUGGUUAAAAACAAUCCAGUUUUUUUUUUGUUUGUUUGUUUUUCGAUAAUUUUAUAUAACGGCAGAAAUCUUAAAGAGAAACAAACCCUGCUAUGAUGAAAACUGCAUCAUCAUCAACAUCAGAGGCUUCCCAAGACCAAAAUGCCCAUUAAUCCUUAGUGACCUGAUUAAUGAAUAAUACGCUUCAGACUAUUAAGAGUCAUAGAAUGAAUCGGAUCAUAUGAGCUGUGGUCAGCCCUCUUCAGUUGUAUCCUUCAGUUUUUAGUUCUGCUACGGUUGUGUGUCAUCAGGCUAAAACCAAGCAUCAGUGCUAAAAAGAGACAAUCUGAAGCUAAUUAGGACCCCAUUACUUAUUUAAGGGUAGCUUGUUUGUGCUAGAGUUGAGGUAUAAAUUAUCCAUGAGACAAUGUCUUUGGGGUAUUUUGUUCAGCUGAGCUUUAUUAACAGCAGCUGACGAGGGCAAUUUAAUGGCCUCCCAAUUAUUUUGAGAGUCCCAAGAAGUAAUUUGGAUGAGCCUCUGCUGUCGCCAGUGCCAGCUAGAGCACCCAUUUAGGGACGCAGGAGAGCUGUAGGAUUUAAUGACACUGUUAAAAUGAUUCUCUGUGGAAGGGUGGACAUUUUAUUGUAACCAGGAGACAGUUUUAUUGUAAAAUAAAAACAACUUAACUGUG